GGGUGCGAUCAUACCAAUGUUAAUGCACCGGAUCCCAUCAGAACUCCGCAGUUAACCGCGCUUGGGCUAGAGUAGUACUGGGAUGGGUGACAUCCCGUGAAGUCCUAGUGUUGCACCCU
rfam:Picea glauca, whole genome shotgun sequence.